UUCUUCUAAAUGAGAGUGUUUAUUGAGAUUUUAUUUCUCUGUUCCACCAUAAUGUGUUAUGAGUGAGGAGAGCUCCACAUGGGGCUCUGAAUUCAGAGGAGUCUCAUGAGAUUAUUAUGAAAUUCUCAUUUGUGAUUGAACUCAUGUCUAGGUAGAAAUGUUUUUUUCUUUCCUCUGGGACCGGGGUAAAUAUAUUUUGUGUGAACAAAGGACAGACAAAUUAUUUCUGAUAGAAGCUGUACUAACAUAUAUUGUAAUAUUAUUUCCAAUCAUUUAUCACCAUCCUGUGAGAUCAUACAUGUCUGCCCUUUGAUAUCAAACUUGGCCACUUGACUUAGGCAACCAACCCUUCCUUCCUUUUGAGAGGACUGCACUUCCCUGCCCAUUUUAUGCAAGAUUGGCUUUGUGAGUUCCUGGUGUGAGUAGAAUGGUAUGUUUCAACUUUAAAUGGAAGCUUUCAAAACCUUUGUUUGCUUUUUUGAACCUUCUCUUCCUGCUGCAAGAAUGGUAGAUCCCAGAUACACUGGAAUUUUACCCUGAAUCCCAGAAUCAAGUUAGAGAAACUAGCAAGAGGUGAAUAAUGAUAGAUAUCAUAUGAGCAAGAAAUAAAUGUUUGUUGUUAUAAGCCAGUAAGAAUUCAGGGAUAUUUGUUACCACAGGGAAACUUGUAGAAAGCUGACUGGUACACUUUCAAUGACCUUUUUUUUUUCCUUACCCACCUUAACCACCCAAGGUUUAGGUUACAGAUGGGAGUUCAUUAUUCCCAGUAAUUGUUCCACCUUUGAAAUCUUGAUUUCAAGAUCCCCUUCCUAAAUAUUACCCUCAUUCCUUCCAUCAUAUAUUCACUGUUUGCAUUAGUGUAUCCAUUUAAUUUUAAUUCAUCUAGAAAUAUAUUACCUUUCAUUGUCUAACUACCCUUAAUGGAUUGUGUGUUCUCAGUUUUCACAUGUUUAACUGGUUUAUCAUAUCAGAUACUUGUAACAACCUAAAGAAACUUGCCCUCUUUCACUGUGAUGCCUUCGCCUACCUAAACAAGCCUCAGAACUGGAUGACCUCAGUUAAGACUUAAGUCCCCUUACAAGCAGGAAGUUCACACUGAGGGCCAAAAAGCCCAAGCAAACAAAAAAAAACAAACAAAAGAGCCCUUAGGCUUUUAGGUGUUUUGUUAAAUUGCUAUCCCUUCUCCAAGGGUGCUCUUUUUAAUUUCUCCGGCUAUAGUAGCAAAUUAUAAAUUUGAUACAUUCUGUUUUCAUUUUUAUUCAAUUCAGAAUACAUUCUAAUUUCCUUUCUGAUUUCUUCUCUGUCACAGGGUUGGUCACAAGUCAGUCAUUAUAUUUCAAAUAUUUGAUUUUCCAGAUAUUUUUGUUAAUGAUUUCUGUUUUAAUUCCAUUGUGGUCAUAGAGAUAUUUUGUAUAGGAUUCUUUUAAAGUUUAUCCAGACUUGUUUCAUGGGCCAGGAUGUGGUUUGUCUUGGUAAAGUACUAUGUGCACUUUGAAAGAUUGCUUAAAAUUCUCGUUAGCUGGAUUGUUCUUAUAGGGGGAAAACUCAGUUCCCUUCCCCCUGUGCAGAGAAAGAUCCAGUCCAUCCCACCGUGUGCUUUUCUCUGUGUUUCCUUUAUGCUCACACUAUUACGACCUUCACUCUGAACACUUCGCUUCUCACACUUUUGGUCACCAAACGUGGAAGUUCUUCCCCACAACAAGCAAUUCUCUGCAACACCAACUGGGUGUUUUUCACUUAAACUCAAUUCUGACACUAUCUACCUGGAGAGAGCAUCACAUCCCACAGAUUAGGGCUCAGCCCACAACACUGCCCCAGCCCCCGCCCGACACACUUCAGACCCCAGUCACAGGUCCAGGUCAUCAUCACCUUUGCUUCAGACCAAGUAGCUAUAGAUGGUGGAUUCCAACAAGCCCCUCCUGGGAUCAGUUAAUUUGCUAGAGCUGCUCACAAAACGCAGGGAAACACAUUCGCCAGUUUACUAAAGGGUAUGGUAAAGGAUACAGUUGAAGAGACACAUAAGGUGAGAUCUGGGAGGUACCCCAGCUUAGGUGCUUUUGUCUUCAUGGCGUUGGGGUGCAUCACCCUCCCCAUGUGGAUGUGUUCGCCAGUCUGCAGCUCUCUGAACCUCCUACUGUCGGGAAUUUAUGGAGGCUUCCUCGUGUAGGUAUAAUGAAUUUUUAGGGGUAGGGCUGAAAAUUCCAAGCUCUAAUCAUUGCUUGGUCUUCCUGCUGACCAAGCUCCCCUUAUAGGAUGGAGCCGCCCAGAGUCACCUCAAUAGAACAAAAGAUGUUCCUGGUGCUCUUAUCACUUAGAGAAUCACAAGGUUUUAGGAGCUCUGUGCCAGGAACCAGGGCCACAGAUCAAUAUAUAUAUUUUCUGUUAUCUCACAGUUCUAUAAAUCUCCAUUUCAUUGAUUAACGGUAUUGUUAGAAUCUUCCAGGAACUUACCGAUUUUCUGUCUGUUCUUCUACUGUUAUUGACAGAGGAAGCAUGGAAAUCGCUGACCGAGUGUUCCUAGGUCCAAACACCACCCCACAUCAAGCCCCCGCCGAGACUGCAGUUCCCAGACCAACAUAAGUAUCCCACACUACUUUAAGCUUUUACCUUAAAACUGUUACAAACUGUUAAACCAAGAAGGAAGCAAUGGUGCAACACAAGACCCUCAAGCAUUUCUAAACCCAGACAGGAUCAAACGGAGGAACGUGCAGCGCCCGCCCCGCCCUCUCACGCUCCCGGCGCUGGCUUGGGCCCACGCCCCGCCCCUCCCCGUGGCGCUCGGCUCAGGCCCCGCCCCCAGCCGCUGCUGGCGUCUCUACUCCACGGGCGCGCAGUUUGCUGCAGAUCCCGAAGCGGAGAACUCGGAGCUGACGUCGCGGUGGGGAGUGAUCGACCUCUAAAGACUCUUGUCUGAGGAAGAAGCCCGGAAAAGGAGGGAGAGGAAAGAAAAGGAGUCAGAAAUGGCUCUUUCUCGGAAAUGCCCUUCUUUGGACUCGCUGAUCUUGUCUGACUCUGAAGUAUCCUGCCUGACACCUGUACAGUCACCCGGGUCCUUCCCUCAGGGCCUGUCAUCUCCACUUAGAUCCCGUCUCCCCAUGACCUGGGACUUGUGAAGAGGCUCCACUAGGCCUAGUCCUGGGCAGGGCUUCACACCCAUGGACUGGAGAUAGGGUGUCGGUGCUACUGGGCAGCAGGGAUUACUGAGGGGCCCCAUCUGGAUGCACUGUCUGCUCUCUGAAAACCAGGAUAAAGAAGCUGCACAUGCAAGUCAGAUACGAUGAGGUCUUCUCCGGCCGUGUACAGACCUUCCUCCCGCUCUGUCAUGUGAGUACCGAAGGCGGCCGGGCGUCCAGCUCCUUCAUCUGGCUCUGCUCUUGGC